rnacentral:rRNA from 1 species
ACGGAAGGCAGCAGUGAGGAAUAUUGGUCAAUGGACGGAAGUCUGAACCAGCCAUGCCGCGUGCAGGAAUAAGGCCCUAUGGGUCGUAAACUGCUUUUGUGGUGGAGCAAUAAGGCGUACGUGUACGUCGAUGAGAGUACAUCACGAAUAAGCAUCGGCUAACUCCGUGCCAGCAGCCGCGGUAAUACGUAGGGAGCAAGCGUUAUCCGGAAUUACUGGGUGUAAAGGGAGUGUAGGCGGGACUGUAAGUCAGAUGUGAAAUAUGCCGGCUCAACUGGCAGACUGCAUUUGAAACUGCGGUUCUUGAGUGAAGUAGAGGUAAGCGGAAUUCCUAGUGUAGCGGUGAAAUGCGUAGAUAUUAGGAGGAACAUCAGUGGCGAAGGCGGCUUACUGGGCUUUAACUGACGCUGAGGCUCGAAAGCGUGGGGAGCAAACAGGAUUAGAUACCCUGGUA